rnacentral:rRNA from 1 species
CCUGUCGCGUCGAUUGUGAAAGCCCAGGGCUUAACCCUGGGUCUGCAGUCGAUACGGGCAGGCUAGAGUUCGGUAGGGGAGAUCGGAAUUCCUGGUGUAGCGGUGAAAUGCGCAGAUAUCAGGAGGAACACCGGUGGCGAAGGCGGAUCUCUGGGCCGAUACUGACGCUGAGGAGCGAAAGCGUGGGGAGCGAACAGGAUUAGAUACCCUGGUAGUCCACGCCGUAAACGGUGGGCACUAGGUGUGGGCAACAUUCCACGUUGUCCGUGCCGCAGCUAACGCAUUAAGUGCCCCGCCUGGGGAGUACGGCCGCAAGGCUAAAACUCAAAGGAAUUGACGGGGGCCCGCACAAGCGGCGGAGCAUGUGGCUUAAUUCGACGCAACGCGAAGAACCUUACCAAGGCUUGACAUACACCGGAAACGGCCAGAGAUGGUCGC